GGUAGCCAAAAAGGCACAAAAUGAGUUGCCCAGUCCAUUCAUCUCCUUGUUCUGCAACAUCAAAAUGUUCAGGCUUUCAACUGGGCUAAUAGUGUUGGGCCAAAGCAAUUGACAAGGCAUUUUCUGGGAGUUGCCCCGAAAGACGAAAGCACAUAUUUCAUUACUUGUUUAACAGGGAAGUAUUAUGAUCUAUACUUUGCCAGGAAGAAGGAAAAACUCUCGAAACAAAUGCUCUAUAGGAAACAGAAUACUUGCUCAAUUCUUAGCUAUUGCUUGGUCUUCAAUAUCUGCUAGAAUGAAUGUACCAAAUCUAUCCUGGAAAUUUAAACCCCAUCAAAAUGAAUGGAACAAAUUGCAUGGCGUUAAACCUGAUCACCAGGUUUAACAAAUAUUUAUGAGCAGAUCAGAUCUAACUUUUGUCAAUCCUGAUGCUGGAAGAACAGGGACUUGUGUGAAACACGAAAACGAAAACUGAAAAAAUGUUCCCACAUUCUUGAUGAUAUGCAACUUUUCAUUUGUUCUCUGGCUUUUGAGAUGCCUGUGGGCAUGAGAUGCAUGCCUUGCAAUCUGGAGGCGGAUAGUUUUCAGAUAGACUAAUCCGUAUUGUUUGCUGCUUCUCUUCAUUACCAGGAACGUGAAGGAGAGCUUCCAUUAUUAGGAUUUCCCAAUCACGAGGAAGGAAAAAUGAAAACCAGCUGUCCUCUGUUAGACAAAUGACAUUUACUUGUUUAGAGAAGAUUCUCCACAGCACUAGAUAUGUUCUUUCAAAACUUCAACAAAGCAAAAGAGAUAAAUGGAAGACAUCACCGUUAGCUCAAUGCAAAAUAAUGGUGCUAGUCUAUGGACAAUAGGCCACUUGACAAGUGACAACUGCUCCCUUGGAGGCAGGGUUGAGGAAUUGGAAGUGUGGACCAAAGGGAUACAUACACAAACAAGAGAGAGGGUGGGAAGGAUGGAGAAGAAAAGGAAAAUCUGAUCAAUACCUAGCAAAAGCUAUUAUGAAGAAAGGCAAGGAAUAAAAAUAAAAAUAAAAACACAUGAAAAUCUACACAUCAUUACAUGUUUCUUUGAGAGGCUAUCAAUUUAAACCUAAUUGAUGUAGCAAAUAUGAAGAGCUCAGAGAAGAAAUGAAAACAUAAAGCAUACAAAAGUACAAAGAGUAGAAAAAUACACAAACCUCCAUUACGAACAGCCUUCAAUUGGAAGACACCAUUGCCCCGUGGUCCAGACACAGGAAAUGUGCAAGAUACAGAUUGCCUUUUGUGAGCAACUGCAAGAGAUGCAUUGUACCAUGGACCUUUAACAAUUGGUUCACCAAUGGCAUCUUUGAUUGCCUGAUUCUUACUGGCUUUCUCCAUGGCCUUGCUGCUGCAGCCUUGAUAUAUGGCAAGGUCAUCAAGAGCACUCAAAGCAACACCGCCAGUAACAGUAAUCAACAGAAAAGAAACAGCCUUGGAACCAAAAGACCUGCUUUUUUCUUCAUCCACAGGCUUGGCAACACUUGAAAACUGUGACGCUGAAGAGCUCCUGAAGAAGGAAACCAACCUUCUCCCCAGCAUGAUCGGAAACCUUUCUAUUUCCCAAGCUCUUGAGUACUGUUUGGCACCGCCGAUUUGUCAAAUUUGGCGUGGAGCCUUGACACUUUAAUU
rnacentral:misc_RNA from 1 species